rnacentral:rRNA from 1 species
UACGAAGGGUGCUAGCGUUGUUCGGAAUCACUGGGCGUAAAGCGUGCGUAGGCGGCUUAACAAGUCAGAGGUGAAAUGCCAAGGCUUAACCUUGGAACUGCCUUUGAAACUGUUGAGCUGGAGUGUCGGAGGGGAUAGCGGAAUUUCUAAUGUAGCGGUGAAAUGCGUAGAUAUUAGAAGGACACCGGUGGCGAAGGCGGCUAUCUGGACGACAACUGACGCUGAGGCACGAAAGCGUGGGUAGCAAACAGG